rnacentral:snRNA from 1 species
AUACUUACCUGACUGGUGUUCGACCGUGAUCCUAGAGGCGGUUGACAUGAACCGGAGCAGGCCCCUUGCACGCCGGUGCUGUAAUGGUUCAGGAAUGCUCUUUUGAGUAACUCCACAGUAGAAUUUUUGGUAGCGGGGGUGAGCGCUUGCGCCGCCCCCAC